rnacentral:rRNA from 1 species
GACGAACGCUGGCGGCGUGCUUAACACAUGCAAGUCGAACGGAAAGGCCCUGCUUUUGUGGGGUGCUCGAGUGGCGAACGGGUGAGUAACACGUGAGUAACCUGCCCUUGACUUUGGGAUAACUUCAGGAAACUGGGGCUAAUACCGUAUAGGAGCUCCUGCUGCAUGGUGGGGGUUGGAAAGUUUCGGCGGUUGGGGAUGGACUAGCGGCUUAUCAGCUUGUUGGUGGGGUAGUGGCUUACCAAGGCUUUGACGGGUAGCCGGCCUGAGAGGGUGACCGGCCACAUUAGGACUGAGAUACGGCCCAGACUCCUACGUGAGACAGCAGUGGCGAAUAUUGCACAAUGGUCGGAAGCCUGAUGCAGCAACGCCGCGUUCGGGAUGACGGCCUUCGGGUUGUAAACCGCUUUCGCCUGUGACGAAGCGUUAGUGACGGUAAUGAAUAAAGAAGCACCGGCUAACUACGUG